UACGGAAGGCAGCAGUGGGGAAUAUUGCACAAUGGGCGAAAGCCUGAUGCAGCUAUGCCGCGUGUAUGAAGAAGGCCUUAGGGUUGUAAAGUACUUUCAUCGGGGAGGAAAAAACAAAACUAAUAAUUUUAUUUCUUGACGUUACCCGAAAAAGAAGCACCGGCUAACUCCGUGCCAGCAGCCGCGGUAAUACGGAGGGUGCUAGCGUUAAUCAGAAUUACUGGGCGUAAAGAGCACGUAGGUGGUUUUUUUAAGUCAGAUGUGAAAUCCCUGGGCUUAACCUAGGAACUGCAUUUUGAAACUGAAAUACUAGAGUAUCGUAGAGGGAGGUAGAAUUCUAGGUGUAGCGGUGAAAUGCGUAGAUAUCUGGAGGAAUACCUGUGGCGAAAGCGGCCUCCUAAACGAAUACUGACACUGAGGUGCGAAAGCGUGGGGAGCAAACAGGGAUUACGAUACC
rnacentral:rRNA from 1 species